rnacentral:lncRNA from 1 species
GCGGAAGGCAGUGCCGGGCCGGCUCACUGCUCUGUCGGUAGGAAGGUUCUUGGGUUCGGACGGCAGCAGGUUCCUGAGGCCAGGGAAGUACAGGGUCGGGGUAAGAAGCCAGAGGCAUCCCCUUCUUUGUACAGCAGGGAGCUCGGGUGGUGUGGCUGGUGGCCCUGCCUGAGCAUCCUUCCCUCCCAUGGCAGAGACUGUUUGGUAAUUUUUGAGUCUCUCGUGUUUUCUGGGUUGUGGAUCUCGUUGAGAAAGUAAUGACAGAAAUUUAAGAGGCGCAGGGCUUUGCUCCAGGGACCCCAAAGCCUGCACAAGCCCUGGGAUGAGGACUUGGUCGAGGCUCCUUUCUUAGAGGAAUUUCAGGGACUCACAGCCACAUUUGCUGAGCGAGAACUGUGGGACGCCCCGGCCCCUCCCUGGGGGCCAGCCUUCCAGCUGAGGAGCCCAUCUGCUCUGCCUGGUGGCCGGGCUUGGGCAGGAGAGGGGCCUGUGACCAGGCAGGCCCCAGAUCCGCGCCGUGCAGAGUGACAGGAGGCGCCCUUUGCAGGAAGCCCGGCCACACUUCAGGCAGUUUUGCCAUUUUAUUCUGACCACCUUGACGUAGG